rnacentral:rRNA from 1 species
UUCCUACGGGUGGCUGCAGUGAGAAAUAUUGGACAAUGGAUGAAAAUCUGAUCCAGCCAUGCCGCGUGCAGGAAGGCGGCCCUAUGGGUUGUAAACUGCUUUUGUACGGGAGCAAUAAGGUCUACGAGUAGAUUGAUGAGAGUACUGUACGAAUAAGCAUCGGCUAACUCCGUGCCAGCAGCCGCGGUAAUACGGAGGCUGCGAGCGUUAUCCGGAUUUAUUGGGUUUAAAGGGUGCGUAGGCUGUUAUAUAAGUCAGUGGUAAAAGGUACAGGAUUAACUUGUAUAGGCCAUUGAAACUGUAUAGCUAGGAUAUGGAUGAAGUAUGCGGAAUGUGUGGUGUAGCGGUGAAAUGCAUAGAUAUCACACAGAACACCGAUAGCGAAGGCAGCACACUAAGGCAAUAUUGACGCUGAGGCACGAAAGUGUGGGGAUCAAACAGGAUUAGAUACCCGAGUAGUCG